rnacentral:rRNA from 1 species
AGGGAAUCUUCCACAAUGGACGCAAGUCUGAUGGAGCAACGCCGCGUGAGUGAAGAAGGUUUUCGGACCGUAAAGCUCUGUUGUUGGUGAAGAAGGAUAGAGGUAGUAACUGGCCUUUAUUUGACGGUAAUCAACCAGAAAGUCACGGCUAACUACGUGCCAGCAGCCGCGGUAAUACGUAGGUGGCAAGCGUUGUCCGGAUUUAUUGGGCGUAAAGCGAGCGCAGGCGGAAGAAUAAGUCUGAUGUGAAAGCCCUCGGCUUAACCGAGGAAUUGCAUCGGAAACUGUUUUCUUGAGUGCAGAAGAGGAGAGUAGAACUCCAUGUGUAGCGGUGGAAUGCGUAGAUAUAUGGAAGAAUACCAGUGGCGAAGGCGGCUCUCUGGCCUGCAACUGACGCUGAGGCUCGAAAGCAUGGGUAGCGAACAGGAUUAGAUACCCUGGUAGUCCAUGCCGUAAACGAUGAGUGCUAAGUGUUGGGAGGCUUCCGCCUCUCAGUGCUGCAGCUAACGCAUUAAGCACUCCGCCUGGGGGAGUACGACCGCAAGGUUGAA